rnacentral:rRNA from 1 species
UACAGAGGGGGCAAGCGUUGUUCGGAAUUACUGGGCGUAAAGGGCGCGUAGGCGGCCCGCUAAGUCGAACGUGAAAUCCCCGAGCUCAACUCGGGAACUGCGUCCGAUACUGGCGGGCUUGAAUCCGGGAGAGGGAUGCGGAAUUCCAGGUGUAGCGGUGAAAUGCGUAGAUAUUGGGAGGAACACCGGUGGCGAAGGCGGCCCCCUGGACCGGUACUGACGCUGAGGCGCGAAAGCGUGGGUAGCAAACGGG